GAAGGUAUCUAAUAUCUAAGUCUAACAUUUGUAAUUAAUCAGCCCCCUCAUGCGGGGCUAUUAUCGCUGAUAGCCCAAGCCCUUCAGGUUUAUUGAGGCAAGAAAUCACAAUUUACCCAAAUCAAUUAAGUGGUGCUAAUGUUAUGGAGUUUCUAUCAAAAGGUUUACAAACCUGAACAGAGAAUCAAUCUACUUUUUCAGCUGACUAAAGUUGGCAACGAGAAUAUUAAAAUCGCCUGGUGAUGAAGUUUAAGAGCAACAUAACAAAAGCAUGUUGCGCAAUCACCAGCGGUUACACUGAAAAAAGACUGAACGAAUCCAGCCUUUUAUU
rnacentral:misc_RNA from 1 species